GUUUUAAUAGUUUAAUAUAAAACAAUGAUUUUGUAAAUCAUAAAUAGGAAAUACCUUUAAAACU
rnacentral:tRNA from 1 species